UCCCUUCUCUAAAGUUAGUCUUUGUGAGGCACUGGAACACAAAAUGGCAGCGCAUACAGGUCAAACAAUAUUUUGCCUCUUGCGGUCCCAGUCCGCGAAUGUACGCGGUGCAGCUUACAUCGGGAAGCGUUUCAUGGCAUCGGCGGGUCAAGGCCCGAAAAAUACUCAGGACACAAAAAAACAGCCUCCAUCAGCAGGUUCGAAAAGAUCGUCUGCUCCGCCUGUGCAGCCGGAAGCGAAUGUCAGCGGAGCGACUGAAGGUUACAAGGUUAAAGAAUACUUCGAGCACAAUCCGUACAGCUUCUACGAUAUCCACGCCGACAUGUCCAAGCUCCGGAUGCCACAGCCAUCCAGUAGGAAAUAAAGAUUCACCACUGAGCAUGGGCACUGUAGACAGUCUGGAACCACAACUAAUGCAUAGAAAUAAAACACCUUUAUUGCUCUUCAAA
rnacentral:lncRNA from 1 species